rnacentral:rRNA from 1 species
UACAGAGGGUGCAAGCGUUGUUCGGAAUCAUUGGGCGUAAAGGGCGUGUAGGCGGUUUGUUAAGUCAUGUGUGAAAUCCCUCGGCUCAACCGGGGAACGACGCAUGAAACUGGCAAGCUAGAGUACCAAAGAGGGGGGUGGAAUUCCUGGUGUAGGAGUGAAAUCCGUAGAUAUCAGGAGGAACACCGGUGGCGAAGGCGGCUGCCUGGACCGAUACUGACGCUGAGACGCGAAAGCGUGGGGAGCAAACAGG